rnacentral:rRNA from 1 species
UACGUAGGGUGCGAGCGUUGCCCGGAUUUAUUGGGCGUAAAGGGUGCGUAGGCGGCCUAUUAAGUCAGGGGUGAAAGACGGUAGCUUAACUAUCGCAGUGCCUUUGAUACUGAUGGGCUUGAAUGAACUAGAGGUAGGCGGAAUGUGACAAGUAGCGGUGAAAUGCAUAGAUAUGUCACAGAACACCAAUUGCGAAGGCAGCUUACUAUGGUUUUAUUGACGCUGAGGCACGAAAGCGUGGGGAUCAAACAGG